rnacentral:tRNA from 1 species
UCCUACUGGGCUAGUGGGUAUGAUUCCUGGCUUUACCCAGGCGGCCCGGGUUCGAUUCCCGGUGUAGGAA